rnacentral:rRNA from 1 species
UACUUGUACUGAUUGAGAUUUUAACACGAAGUGAGUGGCGAACGGGUGAGUAACACGUGGGUAACCUGCCCAGAAGUAGGGGAUAACACCUGGAAACAGAUGCUAAUACCGUAUAACAGAGAAAACCGCAUGGUUUUCUUUUAAAAGAUGGCUCUGCUAUCACUUCUGGAUGGACCCGCGGCGUAUUAGCUAGUUGGUGAGGUAAAGGCUCACCAAGGCAGUGAUACGUAGCCGACCUGAGAGGGUAAUCGGCCACAUUGGGACUGAGACACGGCCCAGACUCCUACGGGAGGCAGCAGUAGGGAAUCUUCCACAAUGGACGCAAGUCUGAUGGAGCAACGCCGCGUGAGUGAAGAAGGGUUUCGGCUCGUAAAGCUCUGUUGUUAAAGAAGAACGUGGGUAAGAGUAACUGUUUACCCAGUGACGGUAUUUAACCAGAAAGCCACGGCUAACUACGUGCCAGCAGCCGCGGUAAUACGUAGGUGGCAAGCGUUAUCCGGAUUUAUUGGGCGUAAAGCGAGCGCAGGCGGUCUUUUAAGUCUAAUGUGAAAGCCUUCGGCUCAACCGAAGAAGUGCAUUGGAAACUGGGAGACUUGAGUGCAGAAGAGGACAGUGGAACUCCAUGUGUAGCGGUGAAAUGCGUAGAUAUAUGGAAGAACACCAGUGGCGAAGGCGGCUGUCUGGUCUGCAACUGACGCUGAGGCUCGAAAGCAUGGGUAGCGAACAGGAUUAGAUACCCUGGUAGUCCAUGCCGUAAACGAUGAUUACUAAGUGUUGGAGGGUUUCCGCCCUUCAGUGCUGCAGCUAACGCAUUAAGUAAUCCGCCUGGGGAGUACGACCGCAAGGUUGAAACUCAAAAGAAUUGACGGGGGCCCGCACAAGCGGUGGAGCAUGUGGUUUAAUUCGAAGCUACGCGAAGAACCUUACCAGGUCUUGACAUCUUCUGACAGUCUAAGAGAUUAGAGGUUCCCUUCGGGGACAGAAUGACAGGUGGUGCAUGGUUGUCGUCAGCUCGUGUCGUGAGAUGUUGGGUUAAGUCCCGCAACGAGCGCAACCCUUAUUACUAGUUGCCAGCAUUAAGUUGGGCACUCUAGUGAGACUGCCGGUGACAAACCGGAGGAAGGUGGGGACGACGUCAAAUCAUCAUGCCCCUUAUGACCUGGGCUACACACGUGCUACAAUGGAUGGUACAACGAGUCGCGAGACCGCGAGGUUAAGCUAAUCUCUUAAAACCAUUCUCAGUUCGGACUGUAGGCUGCAACUCGCCUACACGAAGUCGGAAUCGCUAGUAAUCG